GAUGAACGCUGGCGGCGUGCCUAAUACAUGCAAGUCGAGCGAACAGACGAGGAGCUUGCUCCUCUGACGUUAGCGGAGGACGGGUGAGUAACACGUGGAUACCCUACCUAUAAGACUGGGAUCACUACGGGAAACCGGAGCUAAUACCGGAUAAUCUAUUGAACCGCAUGGUUCAAUAGUGAAAGACGGUUUUGCUGUCGCUUGUGGAUGGAUUUGGGCCGCAUUAGCUAGUUGGUGGGGUAAUGGGUUACCAAGGCGAUGAUGCGUAGCGGGCAUGGGAGGGAGACCGGCCAAAUUGGGACUGGGAUACGGCCGCGACUCCUACGGGAGGAAGCAGUGUGGAAUAUUGUACAAUGGGCGGAAGACGGAUGAAGAAAGGCCGAGUGCGGGAUGACGGCCUUAGGGUUGUAAACCGCUUUCGCCUGUGACGAAGCGUGAGUGACGGUAAUGGGUAAAGAAGCAACGGCUAAAUACGUG
rnacentral:rRNA from 1 species